GAAAGAAUCCUUUGAUGACAUGUGUGAAUACUCCACAAUACCAGAAUUUAACGUUAGCACAAGUCCAGGAGAUGCUUGUUAUGCUGAGAGUGGAGUGUACAGUCUGGCUCAAGGCAGUGCUGUGUACAGCUUAGCAGAGCACCCUGAUGUGAAGAUCGAUUCAGAACAACCUUCUUCAGACGCUGUCUAUGCAAAAGUACAGAAGAGGAAAAAGAAAAUCGCUCAUGAUGAAUUUUU